GAGGAAAGGAAGCCAGUGUGAGGUGGCAGCCUGGGCACCAAGGGAAGGGGGUGCGUCACAGAGAGGGGCAAUCAGCCACGUCACAGGCUGCCGACAGGCAAGGGCAAGGACUGAGAAGCGCCCACAGCACUCAGCCCUGUGGACGGCUCUCCAAGAGUCUGCCUGCAAAUGAGAGAGAGAGGAGGGGGCCUGGCUUGGAGGAGGGAGAGGUCUAGAGAGGGUCUUUAAGAUGGGAGAAAUCGUGGCAUGUUUGUGUGCUGAUGGGAAGAUCCAGGGAGGAGAGAAAGACCGGUGCCAGGAACCCACGAGGCAGGACCAAGAGCAGCAGUGGACAGAGCCAGGGCCUCACAGGGACCAGAAGGAAAGUGGCAGAUCUGGCAGGAGGAGCUGGAGGAAGUUCUCCUUCAAUUAUCUCUACCUGGCAAGAUCGACAGCUAAGAGAGAGGGCGGGAGGAGUGUUGGGGGCUUGAGAGAGGGUGAAGAUACUUAAGAGUCACCUUGGAGAACGGGAAGCAUGGACGGGGACCACCAGCACCUGACCGGGCAGUAUCAUGGGCCCACAUGAGGUUAAAAACUUGAACCGUGACAUCAGCACACCCGCAGGUGUCUCUCCGGCUGCACAAGCUACUCGUAAGGGGUCCCAACGCCUUACGAAAUUUAAACAAUCAAGAUGAAGCCACUAACCUGUGAAAGUUCUACUCAUCUGGUGUAGACAGCCGGGUUACAACAUGCGCCCCAGGCCUCUGGCACGGUGCUCUGUGGAGGGUGCUCGAGGCUCAGCCACCUUGCCGGCCCCUGAGCCUCCCCUCCUCUGGGGACCUUCCGCUAAGACCAGCACGUCUUCUCAUGCCCCACGCAGAGCCAAGCUCCUUCCUAGCCUGCCUGGAUUCUCCUACCUGGAAUCCCCUGUCCACAUCAAUUAAAGCAACAAACAAGCCACGAAACCUGUCAUCCAGCAU
rnacentral:lncRNA from 1 species